rnacentral:rRNA from 1 species
CCCGCCGGCGACCGGCGCACGGGUGAGUAACACGUAUGAAACCGUGCCCGUAGCAGGGGGAUAAGCGGAAGAAAUUCCGUCUAAUACCGCGUAACAACCCGAGGAGGCAUCUCCUCGGGUUUAAAGGAAGCGAUUCCGGCUACGGAUGGUCAUGCGUCGCAUCAGCUAGUUGGCGGGGUAACGGCCCACCAAGGCGACGAUGCGUAGGGGUUCUGAGAGGAAGGUCCCCCACACUGGUACUGAGACACGGACCAGACUCCUACGGAAGGCAGCAG